rnacentral:rRNA from 1 species
UGGGGAAUCUUUGGACAAUGGGGGCAACCCUGAUCCAGCCAUGCCGCGUGAGUGAUGAAGGCCUUAGGGUCGUAAAGCUCUUUCGCCUGUGAAGAUAAUGACGGUAGCAGGUAAAGAAACCCCGGCUAACUCCGUGCCAGCAGCCGCGGUAAUACGGAGGGGGUUAGCGUUGUUCGGAAUUACUGGGCGUAAAGCGCACGUAGGCGGACCAGAAAGUUGGGGGUGAAAUCCCGGGGGCUCAACCCCGGAACUGCCUCCAAAACUAUUGGUCUAGAGUUCGAGAGAGGUGAGUGGAAUUCCAAGUGUAGAGGUGAAAUUCGUAGAUAUUUGGAGGAACACCAGUGGCGAAGGCGGCUAUCUGGACCGAUACUGACGCUGAGGCGCGAAAGCGUGGGGAGCAAACAGGAUUAGAUAGCCCUGGUAGUCCACGCCGUAAAACGAUGUCUGCUAGUCGUUGGGGGCGUAGCCCUUC